rnacentral:rRNA from 1 species
AUAAUCAUGGAGUAUAAUAAUUAAAUUUAAUAAAUUUAAUAUAACUAUUAAUAGAAUUAGGUUACUAAUAAAUUAAUAACAAUUAAUUUUAAAACCUAAAGGUAAACCUUUAUAUUAAUAAUGUUUUUUUUUAUUAUUUUUAUAAUAAGAAUAAUUAUUAAUAAUAAUAAACUAAGUGAACUGAAACAUCUAAGUAACUUAAGGAUAAGAAAUCAACAGAGAUAUUAUGAGUAUUGGUGAGAGAAAAUAAUAAAGGUCUAAUAAGUAUUAUGUGAAAAAAAUGUAAGAAAAUAGGAUAACAAAUUCUAAGACUAAAUACUAUUAAUAAGUAUAGUAAGUACCGUAAGGGAAAGUAUGAAAAUGAUUAUUUUAUAAGCAAUCAUGAAUAUAUUAUAUUAUAUUAAUGAUGUACCUUUUGUAUAAUGGGUCAGCAAGUAAUUAAUAUUAGUAAAACAAUAAGUUAUAAAUAAAUAGAAUAAUAUAUAUAUAUAAAAAAAUAUAUUAAAAUAUUUAAUUAAUAUUAAUUGACCCGAAAGCAAACGAUCUAACUAUGAUAAGAUGGAUAAACGAUCGAACAGGUUGAUGUUGCAAUAUCAUCUGAUUAAUUGUGGUUAGUAGUGAAAGACAAAUCUGGUUUGCAGAUAGCUGGUUUUCUAUGAAAUAUAUGUAAGUAUAGCCUUUAUAAAUAAUAAUUAUUAUAUAAUAUUAUAUUAAUAUUAUAUAAAGAAUGGUACAGCAAUUAAUAUAUAUUAGGGAACUAUUAAAGUUUUAUUAAUAAUAUUAAAUCUCGAAAUAUUUAAUUAUAUAUAAUAAAGAGUCAGAUUAUGUGCGAUAAGGUAAAUAAUCUAAAGGGAAACAGCCCAGAUUAAGAUAUAAAGUUCCUAAUAAAUAAUAAGUGAAAUAAAUAUUAAAAUAUUAUAAUAUAAUCAGUUAAUGGGUUUGACAAUAACCAUUUUUUAAUGAACAUGUAACAAUGCACUGAUUUAUAAUAAAUAAAAAAAAUAAUAUUUAAAAUCAAAUAUAUAUAUAUUUGUUAAUAGAUAAUAUACGGAUCUUAAUAAUAAGAAUUAUUUAAUUCCUAAUAUGGAAUAUUAUAUUUUUAUAAUAAAAAUAUAAAUACUGAAUAUCUAAAUAUUAUUAUUACUUUUUUUAAUAAUAAUAAUAUGGUAAUAGAACAUUUAAUGAUAAUAUAUAUUAGUUAUUAAUUAAUAUAUGUAUUAAUUAAAUAGAGAAUGCUGACAUGAGUAACGAAAAAAAGGUAUAAACCUUUUCACCUAAAACAUAAGGUUUAACUAUAAAAGUACGGCCCCUAAUUAAAUUAAUAAGAAUAUAAAUAUAUUUAAGAUGGGAUAAUCUAUAUUAAUAAAAAUUUAUCUUAAAAUAUAUAUAUUAUUAAUAAUUAUAUUAAUAAUAUAUAUAAUUAUAUUAUAUAUUAUAUAUUUUUUUAUAUAAUAUAAACUAAUAAAGAUCAGGAAAUAAUUAAUGUAUACCGUAAUGUAGACCGACUCAGGUAUGUAAGUAGAGAAUAUGAAGGUGAAUUAGAUAAUUAAAGGGAAGGAACUCGGCAAAGAUAGCUCAUAAGUUAGUCAAUAAAGAGUAAUAAGAACAAAGUUGUACAACUGUUUACUAAAAACACCGCACUUUGCAGAAACGAUAAGUUUAAGUAUAAGGUGUGAACUCUGCUCCAUGCUUAAUAUAUAAAUAAAAUUAUUUAACGAUAAUUUUAUUAAAUUUAGGUAAAUAGCAGCCUUAUUAUGAGGGUUAUAAUGUAGCGAAAUUCCUUGGCCUAUAAUUGAGGUCCCGCAUGAAUGACGUAAUGAUACAACAACUGUCUCCCCUUUAAGCUAAGUGAAAUUGAAAUCGUAGUGAAGAUGCUAUGUACCUUCAGCAAGACGGAAAGACCCUAUGCAGCUUUACUGUAAUUAGAUAGAUCGAAUUAUUGUUUAUUAUAUUCAGCAUAUUAAGUAAUCCUAUUAUUAGGUAAUCGUUUAGAUAUUAAUGAGAUACUUAUUAUAAUAUAAUGAUAAUUCUAAUCUUAUAAAUAAUUAUUAUUAUUAUUAAUAAUAAUAAUAAUAUGCUUUCAAGCAUAGUGAUAAAACAUAUUUAUAUGAUAAUCACUUUACUUAAUAGAUAUAAUUCUUAAGUAAUAUAUAAUAUAUAUUAUAUAUAUAUUAUAUAUAAUAUAAGAGACAAUCUCUAAUUGGUAGUUUUGAUGGGGCGUCAUUAUCAGCAAAAGUAUCUGAAUAAGUCCAUAAAUAAAUAUAUAAAAUUAUUGAAUAAAAAAAUAAUAUAUAUUAUAUAUAUUAAUUAUAAAUUGAAAUAUGUUUAUAUAAAUUUAUAUUUAUUGAAUAUAUUUUAGUAAUAGAUAAAAAUAUGUACAGUAAAAUUGUAAGGAAAACAAUAAUAACUUUUCCAAAAAAGAAUUAUGGAAAGAAUUAAAUUAAUAUAAUGGUAUAACUGUGCGAUAAUUGUAACACAAACGAGUGAAACAAGUACGUAAGUAUGGCAUAAUGAACAAAUAACACUGAUUGUAAAGGUUAUUGAUAACGAAUAAAAGUUACGCUAGGGAUAACAGGGUAAUAUAACGAAAGAGUAGAUAUUGUAAGUUAUGUUUGCCACCUCGAUGUCGACUCAACAUUUCCUCUUGGUUGUAAAAGCUAAGAAGGGUUUGACUGUUCGUCAAUUAAAAUGUUACGUGAGUUGGGUUAAAUACGAUGUGAAUCAGUAUGGUUCCUAUCUGCUGAAGGAAAUAUUAUCAAAUUAAAUCUCAUUAUUAGUACGCAAGGACCAUAAUGAAUCAACCCAUGGUGUAUCUAUUGAUAAUAAUAUAAUAUAUUUAAUAAAAAUAAUACUUUAUUAAUAUAUUAUCUAUAUUAGUUUAUAUUUUAAUUAUAUAUUAUCAUAGUAGAUAAGCUAAGUUGAUAAUAAAUAAAUAUUGAAUACAUAUUAAAUAUGAAGUUGUUUUAAUAAGAUAAUUAAUCUGAUAAUUUUAUACUAAAAUUAAUAAUUAUAGGUUUUAUAUAUUAUUUAUAAAUAAAUAUAUUAUAAUAAUAAUAAUUAUUAUUAUUAAUAAAAAAUAU